rnacentral:rRNA from 1 species
CCUACGAGGGGCUGCAGUGGGGGAUAUUGGACAAUGGGGGGAACCCUGAUCCAGCGACGCCGCGUGAGUGAAGAAGUAUUUCGGUAUGUAAAGCUCUGUCAGCAGGGAAGAAAGCAAUGACGGUACCUGACCAAGAAGCCCCGGCUAACUACGUGCCAGCAGCCGCGGUAAUACGGAGGGGGCAAGCGUUAUCCGGAAUUACUGGGGGUAAAGGGAGCGUAGACGGCUGUGCAAGUCUGGAGUGAAAGGCGGGGGCCCAACCCCCGGACUGCUCUGGAAACUGUAUGGCUGGAGUGCAGGAGAGGUAAGCGGAAUUCCUAGUGUAGCGGUGAAAUGCGUAGAUAUUAGGAGGAACACCAGUGGCGAAGGCGGCUUACUGGACUGUAACUGACGUUGAGGCUCGAAAGCGUGGGGAGCAAACAGGAUUAGAUACCCGAGUAGUC